AGUUGGUCGAGCUAUCGCUUAUUAAGUUAAGAGGAAAGUCCGGACUUCAUAGAGCAGAGUGCCAGUUAACUACUGGGGGGCGUGAGCCUACGGCUAGUGCAACAGAAAAUAUACCGCCAAUUAUUGGUAAGGGUGAAAAGGUAAGGUAAGAGCUUACCGCCUGAGUAAAAUCAGGGCAUGGCAAACCCCACUUGAAGCAAUGCCAAAUAGAGAUCAGAUUGCGUUGCUCGCGCAUGAUCUGGGUAGGCAGCAUGAGUGUUUUGGUGACAAGACACCUAGAUAAAUGAUGGCUUAAACAGAAUCCGGCUUAUAGACCAACUCA
rnacentral:RNase_P_RNA from 1 species